rnacentral:rRNA from 1 species
UGGCGGCGUGCUUAACACAUGCAAGUCGAACGAUGAACCACUUCGGUGGGGAUUAGUGGCGAACGGGUGAGUAACACGUGGGCAAUCUGCCCUGCACUCUGGGACAAGCCCUGGAAACGGGGUCUAAUACCGGAUACUGACCCGCCUGGGCAUCCAGGCGGUUCGAAAGCUCCGGCGGUGCAGGAUGAGCCCGCGGCCUAUCAGCUUGUUGGUGAGGUAAUGGCUCACCAAGGCGACGACGGGUAGCCGGCCUGAGAGGGCGACCGGCCACACUGGGACUGAGACACGGCCCAGACUCCUACGGGAGGCAGCAGUGGGGAAUAUUGCACAAUGGGCGAAAGCCUGAUGCAGCGACGCCGCGUGAGGGAUGACGGCCUUCGGGUUGUAAACCUCUUUCAGCAGGGAAGAAGCGAAAGUGACGGUACCUGCAGAAGAAGCGCCGGCUAACUACGUGCCAGCAGCCGCGGUAAUACGUAGGGCGCGAGCGUUGUCCGGAAUUAUUGGGCGUAAAGAGCUCGUAGGCGGCUUGUCACGUCGGUUGUGAAAGCCCGGGGCUUAACCCCGGGUCUGCAGUCGAUACGGGCAGGCUAGAGUUCGGUAGGGGAGAUCGGAAUUCCUGGUGUAGCGGUGAAAUGCGCAGAUAUCAGGAGGAACACCGGUGGCGAAGGCGGAUCUCUGGGCCGAUACUGACGCUGAGGAGCGAAAGCGUGGGGAGCGAACAGGAUUAGAUACCCUGGUAGUCCACGCCGUAAACGGUGGGCACUAGGUGUGGGCGACAUUCCACGUCGUCCGUGCCGCAGCUAACGCAUUAAGUGCCCCGCCUGGGGAGUACGGCCGCAAGGCUAAAA